ACUGCAUGCGGCCAUGUUUUCUUUGUGUCGCACAAACAAUAAAUUGUGUAUUUUGAUAGCCUGAUAUUAUAGGUAUAGGCCAACAACCCGAGGUAGCACUAGCAUAGUAAUAAUUUGCUGCGUCAUAGUUCAUUCUGUACUGCUUAGGAUACAUAACUGGACUGCGGAAUUACCGCUUGGUCAUCAGAAUGCUCAGUGAAAGCAAUAUACGCUAUGAAGAUGUUUACAACAUCAAGUGCUCCAGAGAGGCUACCAAAAUUCAGCUACGUUCUUACACAUUCCGGAGACAGUUGAUAUAGCAGUCUCUGUAGCAAGCUUACUGCAAAUGAUGUGGAUUUUAAGGGUUGUUUGCUGACCUCAGUGCAAAUUAAGCCAUGCCCAAUUGGAUGCUGCAUUUUGAACAAGUCAGAACUACAUCAACUUGCUUAUGGCAACAGUCUUUUGAAGGCAAACUGUAAGCAACAAGCCUGGACUGAACAGGAGCGAGGCCAGAAGGGUUUCUGAAGAUAGGAGGCUUGGCAUCAUCAUCUCCUAGCCGUUUUCGGCUACAGCAACUGCUUUUCUACGACUGAGAGCGUUGCUGGUGCGCUCUCAGGUGACUGACGUAGUCAAUCUUUGCAGCAAAUGUGCGGCCACACUCGCUGCAGGUCAGCACCCAUCCGACGUAAUUAUACGUGAUGGCCACAGGUGGUCUGGCCUUUAGCUCGUCACUUGUGAAGGCCCUUCGCACAUCUGGGGUGCCUUACGACAACAACAACUUGAUCCUGUCCCACAUGUCCAAAAAAAAAACAUGGCCUGAAAUAUGGGCAAGCAGAAAAAUGAUCAUCCUGCUAUUAUCCUAUGGAACAUGAGAUGGGCGCUAAGAAUGGGUUGACCAUGACUAAAACCAGUGAAAGAAUGUUACUUUAACCAUUCAAGCUAAGGGAAAAUCAUAAGAAGAUUAAUUUGUUUUGGCUUUCAUAGAAAAAUAAUUAUUUUUAUAUGUGAAUCUACCUAUCUGUCUAUCUAUUAGCUCUUUUAUUCUGAGUUCUCUUAGCUCCUCAAGCUCUUUCCAUUAGGGUCUGUCGUGGGCCACUCUUCUCCAGUUCGGGCCUUUUGUGAGUUUGAGUUCAUCCUCCCGUCUUGUUUGAGGUCUACUCUGGCUGCGUGUGCAACCUUGGGUACAAUCUAUUACGAUUUUGCUCCAUUUUUCCUGCCUAUCUCUCAACAUGUGGCCAGUCCAUCUCCACUUCUGCUGCUGUGUGAAACAAAACAAAAUUUCCUUCACUGAAAACAAAUGGGGAAAGAAAAGUUUACAAAGUGAACACAAUGCUAAGAAAUGAAGAGAAUUUGCAUGAAACCAACGGAUUUACUUUAAUUAUAACAGUAACAGGGAAAAUGGUUGUUAAGUCUUGUCUGUCAUGUCACUAUUAAUGUGUUGUCUGCAGGUGCCUUUCCUUCACUA